UACGUAGGCAGCAAGCGUUGUUCGGAAUUACUGGGCGUAAAGAGUGUGUAGGCGGUGCUCUAAGUCUGUUGUGAAAUCUCCCGGCUUAACCGGGAGGGUGCGGCGGAAACUGGAGUGCUUGAGGGUGGGAGAGGUAAGCGGAAUUCCUGGUGUAGCGGUGAAAUGCGUAGAUAUCAGGAGGAACACCGGUGGCGAAGGCGGUUCUCUGGGCAUUACCUGACGCUGAGGAGCGAAAGUGUGGGGAGCGAACAGG
rnacentral:rRNA from 1 species